rnacentral:rRNA from 2 species
GCGGCGGACGGGUGAGUAACACGUAAAGAACCUGCCCAUAGGUCUGGGAUAACCACGAGAAAUCGGGGCUAAUACCGGAUGUGUCAUCGGACCGCAUGGUCCGCUGAUGAAAGGCGCUCCGGCGUCGCCCAUGGAUGGCUUUGCGGUGCAUUAGCUAGUUGGUGGGGUAACGGCCCACCAAGGCGACGAUGCAUAGCCGACCUGAGAGGGUGAUCGGCCACACUGGGACUGAGACACGGCCCAGACUCCUACGGGAGGCAGCAGUAGGGAAUCUUCCACAAUGGACGAAAGUCUGAUGGAGCAACGCCGCGUGAACGAUGAAGGCUUUCGGGUCGUAAAGUUCUGUUGUAAGGGAAGAACAAGUGCCGCAGGCAAUGGCGGCACCUUGACGGUACCUUGCGAGAAAGCCACGGCUAACUACGUGCCAGCAGCCGCGGUAAUAC